CCUACGGGUGGCAGCAGUGAGGAAUAUUGGUCAAUGGACGAGAGUCUGAACCAGCCAAGUAGCGUGAAGGAUGACUGCCCUAUGGGUUGUAAACUUCUUUUAUAUGGGAAUAAAAUGUUCCACGUGUGGGAUUUUGUAUGUACCAUAUGAAUAAGGAUCGGCUAACUCCGUGCCAGCAGCCGCGGUAAUACGGAGGAUCCGAGCGUUAGCCGGAUUUAUUGGGUUUAAAGGGAGCGUAGGUGGAUUGUUAAGUCAGUUGUGAAAGUUUGCGGCUCAACCGUAAAAUUGCAGUUGAAACUGGCAGUCUUGAGUACAGUAGAGGUGGGCGGAAUUCGUGGUGUAGCGGUGAAAUGCUUAGAUAUCACGAAGAACUCCGAUUGCGAAGGCAGUUCACUGGACUGUAACUGACACUGAGGCUCGAAAGUGUGGGUAUCAAACAGGAUUAGAUACCCCAGUAGUC
rnacentral:rRNA from 1 species